CCGUAACUAUAACGGUCCUAAGGUAGCGAAAUUCCUUGUCGGGUAAGUUCCGACCUGCACGAAUGGCGUAAUGAUGGCCAGGCUGUCUCCACCCGAGACUCAGUGAAAUUGAACUCGCUGUGAAGAUGCAGUGUACCCGCGGCAAGACGGAAAGACCCCGUGAACCUUUACUAUAGCUUGACACUGAACAUUGAGCCUUGAUGUGUAGGAUAGGUGGGAGGCUUUGAAGCGUGGACGCCAGUCUGCGUGGAGCCAACCUUGAAAUACCACCCUUUAAUGUUUGAUGUUCUAACGUAGGCCCCUGACCGGGGUUGCGGACAGUGUCUGGUGGGUAGUUUGACUGGGGCGGUCUCCUCCCAAAGAGUAACGGAGGAGCACGAAGGUUAGCUAAUCCUGGUCGGACAUCAGGAGGUUAGUGCAAUGGCAUAAGCUAGCUUGACUGCGAGCGUGACGGCGCGAGCAGGUGCGAAAGCAGGUCAUAGUGAUCCGGUGGUUCUGAAUGGAAGGGCCAUCGCUCAACGGAUAAAAGGUACUCCGGGGAUAACAGGCUGAUACCGCCCAAGAGUUCAUAUCGACGGCGGUGUUUGGCACCUCGAUGUCGGCUCAUCACAUCCUGGGGCUGAAGUAGGUCCCAAGGGUAUGGCUGUUCGCCAUUUAAAGUGGUACGCGAGCUGGGUUUAGAACGUCGUGAGACAGUUCGGUCCCUAUCUGCCGUGGGCGCUGGAGAAUUGAGGGGGGCUGCUCCUAGUACGAGAGGACCGGAGUGGACGCAUCACUGGUGUUCGGGUUGUCAUGCCAAUGGCACUGCCCGGUAGCUAAAUGCGGAAGAGAUAAGUGCUGAAAGCAUCUAAGCACGAAACUUGCCCCGAGAUGAGUUCUCCCUGAGACUAUAAGUCUCCUGAAGGAACGUUGAAGACGACGACGUUGAUAGGCCGGGUGUGUAAGCGCAGCGAUGCGUUGAGCUAACCGGUACUAAUGAACCGUGAGGCUUAACCUU
rnacentral:rRNA from 1 species